rnacentral:rRNA from 1 species
UGGGGAAUAUUGGACAAUGGGGGGAACCCUGAUCCAGCAAUGCCGCGUGUGUGAAGAAGGCCUUCGGGUUGUAAAGCACUUUCAGCGAGGAGGAAGGGAGUUGUGUUAAUAGCACAGCUUCUUGACGUUACUCGCAGAAGAAGCACCGGCUAACUCUGUGCCAGCAGCCGCGGUAAUACAGAGGGUGCAAGCGUUAAUCGGAAUUACUGGGCGUAAAGCGCACGUAGGCGGUUUUUUAAGUCAGAUGUGAAAGCCCCGGGCUCAACCUGGGAAUUGCAUUUGAAACUGGAAAACUAGAGUGUGUGAGAGGGGGGUAGAAUUCCAAGUGUAGCGGUGAAAUGCGUAGAGAUUUGGAGGAAUACCAGUGGCGAAGGCGGCCCCCUGGCACAACACUGACGCUCAGGUGCGAAAGCGUGGGGAGCAAACAGGAUUAGAUACCCCAGUAGUCCCUGAGCGGGCUGGCAAGGCGCAU